GAGGGUGUAGCUCAGUCGCAGAGCCCGUGCUUAGCAUGCGUGAGGUCCUGGGUUCAGUCCCCAGUGCUUCCA
rnacentral:tRNA from 1 species